AGAGAGAGAGAGAGAGAGAGAGAGAAAGAGAAGAGAGAGAGAAAGAGAGAGUUAAGAACUUCUUGAUCAAGAUAUGAAAGAAAAGCCAUAUGAAUAGACAUGUCUUCUGCAGCCGAUCCAGGCUUUGCUGUUUACAUUGUUUGAUUGGUUUCUUUAGAAGUUGCGCCGCAGUCAUCAAUAUUCCAGCUAUAUGACACCGGUCUGUAAAUAAUAGAGUCUGG